rnacentral:lncRNA from 1 species
UGGGGACAAAACUAGAACUCCUUGGUUCUCAUUGACUCUGGUUACACCAAUUCUUUGGGCUCCCUGCCUUCUACCCCACCAAUCCCAGUAGGCACCAGUCACCACGGGUCAACAUGGAAGCAGCGAGUGAUUGCUUCAGUUCUGCAUGCUUAACUUAGAUAAGGUCUGAAGCCAGCGGGGAUGAAACACAGAUGCUUUAUAUCAAAUCCAUCUACCUAGGAAUAUAAGAUGAGUCUGCUAGGUCAGGUCAGUGACCCAGGUACCCAGUGCUCCCCCCCCCCCGAAAAAGAGCUGCUGGUACUCACCAUGAAGUUGUUACAGUAACUGUCACACUUUUUAAUAACAAAAGAGGUGCCGGUACUACAUGCUCUUGAGUAUCUCCUGGGUGAAAAGCAAUGCAGGUACCCAACUAUCUUGUUCUCUCAGCACCUCAGUUUUGUCUACAUUGAUGGUCAGUUGUCCUCCAGGGUUCUAGACUACCUGGAGAUGAUAGGGAUUGAAAAUGGUACCUUCUGCAUGCAAAGUAGGUGCUCUGCUGCUUAGCUACAGCCCUUGCCCUGUAAAGAGUAAUAUUCCAGUCCUCAUGGUUCAUAAUAAUAAUAAUAAUAAUAAUAAUAAUAAUAAUAAUUUAUUGAUAACCCGCCCAUCUGGUUGAGUUUCCCCAGCCACUCUGGGCGACUUCCAAUCGAGUGUUAAAAACAAUACAGCAUUAAAUAUUAAAAACUUACCUAAACAGGGCUGCCUUCAGAUGUCUUUUAAAGAUAGGAUAGCUACUUAUAUCCUUCACAUCUGAAGGGAGGGUGUUCCACAGGAUGGGUGCCACUACCAAGAAGGCCCUCUGCCUGGUUCCCCGUAACCUCACUUCUCGCAAUGAGGGAACCGCCAGGAGGCCCUCGGAGCUGGACCUCAGUGUCCGGGCAGAACGAUGGGGGUGGAGACGCUCCUUCAGGUAUACUGGACCACUUUAAACACGGAUGUAAGCCUUGCACCAGGUUAAGCCACUGGUGCAGCUAACUCGGCUUUGUCUACACUGACUGGCAGGGUUUCAGACAGGGCCAUUCCCAGCUCACCUGGAGAUGUUGGGGAUUGAACAUGGGACAGGUGCUCUACCCACUCAGCUCUAGGUACCCAACCAAGGCCUCAGGCGCAGGUCUUUCCUCUCUCAACUUCAGAUGAACCUGAGCCCUUGCGUGCCACAACAUGUGCUCUCCCACAGCAAGCUGCUAGGCCCUCCCUAGCUCCUUUUUGUCCUUGCUUGGAUGAGCUUAGGCAGGAAUUCAGGUCCCUGGGUUCCAGAGAUAAUGGGCACGCCCCAAUUUAUGGAUGUACCAUUAACUGGGAGUGGCUAAACUUAGGGCAUGCUGUGAGGUUAGGUUGCUUCCAAAGAUUCCAAUAUUAAUUCUGCAAAGUGGUACAUCAUUGUGAUGGAGUGUGGGAGUUCCAAUGCAGUUUCUUCUUCUUCUUCCAGGUCAGCCUAAAGUCAAAGACAAUGUCUCAUCAACAGAAGCAACAGUGCAAACAGCCCUCUGUGUGCCCACCAGGGCCCUGUGGGAAUCCUGCAAAGUCCAAUGAGCCUCAGUGGCAUGGGUCAACUGGCUGUCACUGUCACAGCUCAACUGGAUCUUAUGGCCAAGGAUCAGGUGGCUAUGUCUGUCACAACUCAACUGAAUCUUAUGGCCAAGGGUCAGGUGGAUAUGACUGUCACAGCUCAACUGGAUCUCAUUGGCAGGGGUCAGGUGGAUCUCUGAGCCAAGAGCCAGGGCAAUGGCCAACUGGGAAAGAUUGUGACGACCAAGUUCCAGCCUGUCACCCUCAUGGCACCCAGUCAUACUAAGUUACCUUCACAGAGUCAGCCAUCAAGAGGUAGAAGGCACCACAACUCCUGAAGUCAACAUCAUGACCUCCUGUUCUACUUUCAUUAGCCACAGAACUCUAUUAUUUCCUAUGAAGCUGAUUUCAUGCAUAUAUUUAUCCUGGCAAGUCACAAAGGCUUCUGAGGACCACACAGCUAUGAGAGGUGGAUGGAGACGGGACUGCCAGACCAUCUCCAUUGGCUCUGCUGAAUGACCAGCAACUUCUGGCUCUUCUCCAUUCUCCCCACCUCCAGUUAUUGCUGCUUAUUACAAAAUCCCCAUAACUGACUUCCCGAGCUUGUUUUUUCCUUCUCCCUCCCAGACCCUUUUCCUUUUGUGGCAUGUCUCUUAGACUGGGAACCUGAGGGCAGGGAAUGUCUCAACACUGAUAUUUGUAAGCUACUUGGGGGGUGUCUUUUUUUAUUGAACAUCUGGAUAAAAUAAUAAUAAGCCUAUCAAAGGGCUGUAACUACCAAAGCAGGG